GACGAACGCUGGCGGCGUGCUUAACACAUGCAAGUCGAACGGUGAAGCGCCUUCCUUUUUGGUGGGUGUGGAUGAGUGGCGAACGGGUGAGUAACACGUGAGUAACCUGCCCCCUUCUUCUGGAUAACCGCAUGAAAGUGUGGCUAAUACGGGAUAUUCUGGGUCUGUCGCAUGAUGGGUCUGGGAAAGAUAUUGUUUCGGUGGGGGAUGGGCUCGCGGCCUAUCAGCUUGUUGGUGGGGUGAUGGCCUACCAAGGCGGUGACGGGUAGCCGGCCUGAGAGGGUGGACGGUCACACUGGGACUGAGACACGGCCCAGACUCCUACGGGAGGCAGCAGUGGGGAAUAUUGCAUAAUGGGCGCAAGCCUGAUGCAGCGACGCCGCGUGAGGGAUGGAGGCCUUCGGGUUGUGAACCUCUUUCGCCAGUGAAGCAGGCCUGCCUCGUUUGUGGGUGGGUUGACGGUAGCUGGAUAAGAAGCGCCGGCUAACUACGUG
rnacentral:rRNA from 1 species